GAAAUUCAAAUUUAAAUGAAAUAAUAAAAGAAACGAUUGGAAACGGAGCUGUUCAUCUUGCAAACUUAAACAAGAACACGAUACUAGUUAAUUGCAAGCCCAUAAUUGGGCCACUUCAAACUGGCACAUCAAUUUUGGUUUUCCUAUCCGCCACCUGGCGCUGGCGGCGGUUCCUCAAACAGCAAAACAGCGCAAACCGACGAGGAGAAGCAGCGCGAUCGGCAGCGCAACGAGCGUGAAGCCAAAAAGGAGGAGCAGGACGCUAUUAACUACAAGCGCGACAAGGAGAACCGAGAGGCACGUUUGCUGGAUUUUGAAAUACGACGCCAGCAAAAGCGUGAGGAGCAGAACCAGCAGCGACAGCAGCAGCACCAGUUACAGCAACACCAACAACACC
rnacentral:sRNA from 13 species